GACAGAGGGGGCAAGCGUUGCUCGGAAUUACUGGGCGUAAAGGGCGCGUAGGCGGCCUGCUAAGUCGAACGUGAAAUCCCUGGGCUCAACCCAGGAACUGCGUCCGAUACUGGUUGGCUUGAAUCCGGGAGAGGGACGUGGAAUUCCAGGUGUAGCGGUGAAAUGCGUAGAUAUCUGGAGGAACACCGGUGGCGAAGGCGACGUCCUGGACCGGUAUUGACGCUGAGGCGCGAAAGCCAGGGGAGCAAACGGG
rnacentral:rRNA from 1 species